AACUGCGAGUGAAGCGGCAAAAGCUCAAAUUUGAAAUCUGGUACCUUUGGGUGCUCGAGUUGUAAUUUGGAGAGGCAACUUCGGAGGAGGCGCUGGCCUAAGUUCCUUGGAACAGGACGUCACAGAGGGUGAGAAUCCCGUGCUUGGCUGGCUGUCCUCCUUCAUGUGAGGUGUCUUCGACGAGUCGAGUUGUUUGGGAAUGCAGCUCAAAAUGGGUGGUAAACUCCAUCUAAGGCUAAAUAUUGGCGAGAGACCGAUAGCGCACAAGUAGAGUGAUCGAAAGAUGAAAAGCACUUUGAAAAGAGAGUUAAACAGUACGUGAAAUUGUUGAAAGGGAAGCGCUUGAGACCAGACUUGGUGAUAGGUGAUCAGCGGUWGCUUUUGCUCCGUGCACUUGCCUUUUACCGGGCCAGCAUCAGUUGUGACGGUGGGAUAAAGACUCAGGGAAUGUGGCUCUCUUUGGGGAGUGUUAUAGCCCUGGGUGUAAUGCCACCUGUUGCGACUGAGGACCGCGCUUCGGCUAGGAUGCUGGCAUAAUGGUCUUCAGCGACCCGUCUUGAAACACGGACCAAGGAGUCUAACAUCUAUGCGAGUGUUCGGGUGCAAAACCCCUACGCGUAAUGAAAGUGAACGGAGGUGGGAACUCUUCGGAGUGCACCAUCGACCGAUCCUGAUGUCUUCGGAUGGAUUUGAGUAGGAGCAUAGCUGUUGGGACCCGAAAGAUGGUGAACUAUGCCUGAAUAGGGUGAAGCCAGAGGAAACUCUGGUGGAGGCUCGCAGCGGUUCUGACGUGCAAAUCGAUCGUCAAAUUUGGGUAUAGGGGCGAAAGACUAAUCGAACCAUCUAGUAGCUGGUU
rnacentral:rRNA from 1 species